AUGAACGCUAGCUACAGGCUUAACACAUGCAAGUCGAGGGGCAGCAUGUCGGUUGCUUGCAACCGAUGAUGGCGACCGGCGCACGGGUGAGUAACGCGUAUCCAACCUGCCCGUCACUUGGGGAUAACCUUGCGAAAGUAAGACUAAUACCCGAUGAUAUCCCUAGAAGACAUCUGAAAGGGAUUAAAGNUUUAUCGGUGAUGGAUGGGGAUGCGUCUGAUUAGCUUGUUGGCGGGGUAACGGCCCACCAAGGCAACGAUCAGUAGGGGUUCUGAGAGGAAGGUCCCCCACAUUGGAACUGAGACACGGUCCAAACUCCUACGGGAGGCAGCAGUGAGGAAUAUUGGUCAAUGGGCGAGAGCCUGAACCAGCCAAGUAGCGUGCAGGAUGACGGCCCUAUGGGUUGUAAACUGCUUUUAUAAGGGAAUAAAGUGAGCCUCGUGAGGCUUUUUGCAUGUACCUUAUGAAUAAGGACCGGCUAAUUCCGUG
rnacentral:rRNA from 1 species